AUUGAACGCUGGCGGCAUGCCUUACACAUGCAAGUCGAACGGCAGCACGGGUGCUUGCACCUGGUGGCGAGUGGCGAACGGGUGAGUAAUACAUCGGAACAUGUCCUGUAGUGGGGAAUAGCCCGGCGAAAGCCGGAUUAAUACCGCAUACGAUCUACGGAUGAAAGCGGGGGACCUUCGGGCCUCGCGCUAUAGGGUUGGCCGAUGGCUGAUUAGCUAGUUGGUGGGGUAAAGGCCUACCAAGGCGACGAUCAGUAGCUGGUCUGAGAGGACGACCAGCCACACUGGGACUGAGACACGGCCCAGACUCCUACGGGAGGCAGCAGUGGGGAAUUUUGGACAAAGGGCGAAAGCCUGAUCCAGCAAUGCCGCGUGUGUGAAGAAGGCCUUCGGGUUGUAAAGCACUUUUGUCCGGAAAGAAAUCCUUGGCCCUAAUACGGUCGGGGGAUGACGGUACCGGAAGAAUAAGCACCGGCUAACUACGUG
rnacentral:rRNA from 1 species